CCUACGGGAGGCAGCAGUGGGGAAUUUUGGACAAUGGGGGCAACCCUGAUCCAGCAAUGCCGCGUGUGUGAAGAAGGCCUUCGGGUUGUAAAGCACUUUUGUCCGGAAAGGAAUCCCUUGCCCUAAUACGGCGGGGGGAUGACGGUACCGGAAGAAUAAGCACCGGCUAACUACGUGCCAGCAGCCGCGGUAAUACGUAGGGUGCGAGCGUUAAUCGGAAUUACUGGGCGUAAAGCGUGCGCAGGCGGUUUUGUAAGACAGGCGUGAAAUCCCCGAGCUCAACUUGGGAAUGGCGCUUGUGACUGCAAGGCUAGAGUAUGUCAGAGGGGGGUUAGAAUUCCACGUGUAGCAGUGAAAUGCGUAGAGAUGUGGAGGAAUACCGAUGGCGAAGGCAGCCCCCUGGGACGUCACUGACGCUCAUGCACGAAAGCGUGGGGAGCAAACAGGAUUAGAUACCCUGGUAGUCCACGCCCUAAACGAUGUCAACUAGUUGUUGGGAUUCAUUCUUCUAGUACGUAGUACUACGACGUGUAGUAGUACGCCGUGGAGGUACGGUCGCGAGAUAAACUACGAAGAAGUAGAGCGNGAGAGNGCGACGACGACGACGAGGGAGAG
rnacentral:rRNA from 1 species